UGGGGAAUUUUGGACAAUGGGCGAAAGCCUGAUCCAGCAAUGCCGCGUGUGUGAAGAAGGCCUUCGGGUUGUAAAGCACUUUUGUCCGGAAAGAAAUGGCUCUGGUUAAUACCUGGGGUCGAUGACGGUACCGGAAGAAUAAGGACCGGCUAACUACGUGCCAGCAGCCGCGGUAAUACGUAGGGUCCAAGCGUUAAUCGGAAUUACUGGGCGUAAAGCGUGCGCAGGCGGUUGUGCAAGACCGAUGUGAAAUCCCCGAGCUUAACUUGGGAAUUGCAUUGGUGACUGCACGGCUAGAGUGUGUCAGAGGGGGGUAGAAUUCCACGUGUAGCAGUGAAAUGCGUAGAGAUGUGGAGGAAUACCGAU
rnacentral:rRNA from 1 species